rnacentral:misc_RNA from 1 species
AAGGAAAAAAAAAAAAAACUACAGAAGUAGAAAUGUGUUAUGAAUAAAAGAAAAAAUAAAAAAAAAUUCAAAUUGAAGAGAAUGAAUCUGAAGCAAUUAAAAUCCAGAUUUCCCAAAAAAAAAAAGUGAUAUACUUAAUCGUUACUAUAUUCCCUAUCUUCCACUUCAUGUUUUUGUUAUCUAUAAAGAAAAUAAAAGAAAAAUCAGUGCUAUUAAAAAAAGUCAUUAUUCAAAAAAAGAAAAAAAAAUAUGGACAAAUAAUUAAAGAAAGUCAGUGGUGUCAUCAAUGAAAUUAAAAAAAAAACCUUCGCCAUAAAAUAUCAUCCUUUACCUAUAUCUCAAUGCCUCUUCAAAAGUAACAACAAUAACAAAUAAGUCUUAAUCCAAACUAGUUAGGGUCGACCAUAUGGAUUCUUUUUCGCCAUUCAACUUUAUUUGAGACCAAUUUUGUGUCGAUAUUAAAAAUUGUAAAUCUUUUGAUACUAUUCCACAUCAUUUUAGUGUCACCCUCUUCCUUCUCACUUUUUCCACUACUGACCUAUCACAUUUCCGUAUUAGGGCAUUCCAUGCUCUACGUUGAACGUGACCAAACCAUCUUAAUCAACUCUCCCUCAAAAGUAAGAAGGCAAAAAGUUUUAGAGUUGACUAUAUGGAUUGAAAUUGCUGUUGUGGCUGCAAUAAUGGUCAUGAUCAUGUGUAAUGGAAAUGGGGUUGUCACAGGUAACAAUGCGAAAAUUGUUUAAACGAAAUUUGCAAAAUGAAGUAAAUUAAUAAAUAUUAACAGAAUAAUUAAAUUUAAGAAAUUCAACUGACUAGUGAGCAUAAAUCCACUAUACAUAAACUAUUUUUGUUACAUUUUAACUUACUGAUGCAUUUUUUAAUUUAUAGAUUUAUACAUUUUGAAUAUGAAUCAAGCUAAACUUCCAACUUAUGGUUAAAUUUCGAUUAUAUAUGAUUAUAUGUAAUUUAUU